rnacentral:snRNA from 1 species
AUUGCUUCUCGGUAAAUACUCACCAAGAAUAUAAUAUCUAAAAUCACUGUAAUCGAUGUCUUUCCUUCCGAGGAAGCUUCGAUAUUACACUUAAUUUUUAGCAGUUGGAGAAGGGAGUUUAUUCUUCCUUUUCCAAGGGUUGGCCUGGUAUUGCAGUACAUCCAGGAUUCGGCCCAUCUCCC